AGCAUGAGUGGGGGAGGGACACAGAGAGAGACAGAGACACGGAAUCUGAAGGAGGCUCUAGGCUCUGAGCUGUCAGCACAGAGCCUGAACACACGAACUGCGAGAUCAUGACCUGAUCCGAAGUCAGACGCUCCACUGACUGAGCCACCCAGGCGCCCCUCUAGUUGUUUUAAAUGAAUACAUUGCAUUGUGUGUCUUAUAGGAGAUACUAUAGUUAAAGGCUGUAAUGUCUUUAUCUUAAGAAAUCUCAAAGAACUCUAUUGUGUUCUCAAUCAAGAAAUAGUUACAGAGCACCUGUGCUGCAUGCCAGAUACUGUGCUAAAGAUUCAGUGGUGGGUACAUUUAGACAAAGGCCUUGCUUUAGCAGAGCUUAUAUUUUACUAGGGAAAAUAGACAUCAAUUAAAUAAGCAUAUAUUUGAUAUAAAAUUGCAAGCAUAAAUUCAAGAAAAGAGAGGAGCAUGGAACCAAGAGUGUUUGUCACAUGGGAUCUGUCCUAGUUAUGGCAGUGAGCAAAGGACUCUCCAAGGAAGUGACCAUUGAGGUAAGAUCAGAAGGAGGAAUAGGUUUUACUAGAUGAGGAAAGAAGAUAAGAGCAUUCCAGGAGAAAGAGCCUCAUGUCUGUAGAACCAACGGGUAGAGGGAGCAUGGCAAGAAAAAGGGCUGAAAAAAAAAAAAAGCCCGUGGAGUUAUAACAGAGGGGGAGGCCGAGUAUAGGGCAAAAUGAGCUGGAAAUGUGGAAAUAUGGGAUAAGGUGAUUUCUUUCUGGAUCAUGUUAGGAAAUUUGUUUUAUAUGAAGAGCAACAGAAGGAAACAUUGAACUGUCAUAAACAGGAAGGUGACUUAGAUUUUUGUUUCAAAAAACUGCCAAGUACAGAGUGGAAAGAAGGCAUCUCAUGAGAUCAGGGGAUGAUCGUAGUAGGAAUAGUUGGAACGCAAGGUGGAAGAAGAAUGAUUUAUAGUCAGAGAAGAAAGUGUGAGAAUCAGUAAUGGUGACGGUAGAACAGUUAUGUAUGGUGAAAGAUGCCUGUUUUCGUAUGCAUUUACUUUUCUGUUAAAAAACAAGGACUUGAGAGACAAUUAAUCAAAUGAACUCUGAAAGAAACAGUGAAGUGGCACAGAAGACCCACAUCCGUGACUUUCAGCUAAUCUCUUUUGCUUACCUAGUCAUGAAUGUAUCAUCAACAUACUAUUAAGCAUUUAAGGGCUGCAGUAGUAAGAGCACUAAAGGCAAAUAUAAUGGCAACCAAAAACUUCUAUUAAUUAUGCAAUUAUAUUCAUGGGAUGGAUUAUCUGCUGGAGAUCAUGUGUGGAAUACUUGGAUUAUAUGCCCUUUAUGCUUAUUUCAGGAGGAGGAGAUGGAAAUAGGAAAAGGUAGAGUUGGCUUAGGAGACUGAGGAAGUGAGCAAGUGAGCAAGAGAGAGCAUCACAACUUUUGGACCAAAUAAAAUUUUGGUGAUAUAAUCAUUUUUGCAUUUUAAGCUAUAUUUCCUCUCUCAAAAAAUUGGCACCUUCUAUGAUACAAUUGUAAACAAUGCCCUUGAAACACAGUGAAAUUGUUCUUAAAAAAAAUAAAACCACAUAUUUAACAUAAUAAACAGAAUUUUAAAUGGAAAAAAAAUCAUGAUGUAUUUAUAUUUUCCACUUAUACAAUAUCUUUAAUCAUCCUCGACUCAGAAAUUUUGAUCAAUGCAUUGCCCGAUUUUUGAUCAACGGCUGUCCAUCGCCCCCACUUCUACAUCAUUAACUGAUCUGUUAAUGACAGCACUGUGCGCACAUCGAGUGAAUUGUUCUUCUGUUAUAAAGUGAGCCUGCUCUUGGUAAGGCCACUAGAAUGAAGGGAAAGGAGGGAAACUCUUGGGUAGGAGCGCAUGUAUUUCUAAUCAUCACCAGAAGACCAGGGAGUCCGCUUUCCUGCCCUUCAUUUUUCUCUGUAAACGUUCUUUGCUAAAGCUAUGACACCCUCGCAUUGCUCCCUUUACAAUGAAGCUGUAAAUGUCACUUUAGCAUUUAACCAGAGAGCGGAAAUGCCCGGAAUGAAAAGCCAGGAGAACAAAGUGGGAGUGUUGGAGCUCAAGAGCUGAGGGUCUGCCCAAGCUAAUCUCCCCGACUUUCACCCAACCCUGUUGGAUGUCUCGUUACGGUGUGUGCGGAAAACGCUGAACAGUUAGAGCAGACUCCAGUGUCGUCCGGGCUCCGGGUGCAGAGUCCAUUAUACAUGGUGUCAGACAGUUUUGACAAAUGCACCGACACAAUCAAACCUUUUAUCAAUGUGAAAGUAACCUUGUCACAGAAAUCUGUCAAACUGUGCAGAUACAACUAAAGGAAAACAAUCAUCAUGCACUUCAGAGUAACGGAGUAAAUAAGAAAAAUGUGAGUGGACAUUUUUUUUUUAGUCCUUUCUUACCGUGUCAAUGAAGAUUUAAAAGUUCCCUCUAAUAAGACCCAAGGAAAUUUAUUAGUAGCUUUCUCCUGAAAGCCAGACUCAAAUUACGCAGCUGCUUUUGAGGCGUCGUAAAUCUGUAUGGUGUCAGGUGUGAGUACGAAGUGAAUUUGAGGAUCUUUGAACCCUCCUUUGUGUAAUUUAAAUGAGAGAGUGCCUUUAAGGUCCAAAGUAGAUGUCUGAAUUGACUCAGCAUAGAUCUGAAACUUAGCUGCAUAUAUUAAUUCAGGCUUAUGUACAAUUAUAUUUGCCAACUAUGCUUUCUGAACCAGACAUAGGAUUUGGUUUGUAAUUAAUAGACAAUUAUCAUUAAUAAGGAAUUGUUUACAUAUAGACAACAUUUAUUGUGUACUACAUACACACUCUACGUUUUUUAAUAUUACCUCAUUUAAUGCUCAAAAUAGCUUUAUGAAGUGAGAGCAAUAAUUACCGAGUAAUAGUUGAGUAAACUCAGGCUCAAAAUGGUUAGGAGCCUUAUUGUCCAAAUUUACAGAUCCACCAGCAUUCAAACCCAGCUCUUCCUUGCCACCACGUAAACAUUCAUUUAAUGAGAAUGAGGAUGGCAUAAGUCUCCAGUUCUCACAUCCAUGGCUGCCCGUGAGUAUCCCUGGAGGAGCUUUAGAAAAAUACUACCGCCUGGAUCUCACCCUCAGGGAUUCUGAUUUAAUUCAUGAUACUAAGUUAGAUACUUAGAUUUAGAUAGUCCGCUUAGAUACUGAGAUUUUUAAAAGUCUGUUCAGGUAGGGGCACCUGGGUGGCUCAGUCAAUUAAGCGUCUGACUCUUGAUUUCAGCACAGGUCAUAAUAACCUCAUGGUUCAUGAGUUUGAGCCCCACUCCUGAGCUGGUAGUGUGGGGUCUACUUGGGAUUCUUUCUCUUUCUCCCUCUCUUUCUGCCCCUCCCAUGCUCUUGGGCACUUCCUCUCUAUCAAAAUAAAUAAAUAGACAUUAAAAAAAUUUAAAAGUCUGCUCAGGUAAUUCUACAAUGUAGCAAAGUUUGGAAACCCCUGGAGUAAAUCAUGCUAAUAAAAAGAAUAUACUUUAAUCUUCUAUUUUAAUUCCCUUACUCUGACUUGCAUAGAUUCUAGAAAUUUCAUAGGAGCCACCAAUUUUUUUUUUUCAUUUAACUAGAAGACUUAAAAAUAAGUUUUGUUAAGAUAAUUUUGGAGCGAAUUGGAUUUUCCAAUUAAAAAUGAGAUUUUUUUUGUUUUAGAUUUAUGCAUGGAAAGUCAAGCCCUGAAAUGGGGAUCUAUGAGCACUUUAAAGAAUGUCCUUGGAGGGGGGCACUUGGGUGGCUCAGUCAGUUGAGUGACUGGCUUUUGAUUUUGGCUCAGGUCCUGAUCCCAAGGUUGUGGGAUCGAACCCCACGUUGAGCUCUGCCAGUGCUGAGCAUGGAGCCUGCUUAAGAUUCUCUGUCUCUCCCUCUGUCCCGCUCCCCUCACUGGUGCUGUCUCUUUCUGAAGCAAAAAAUAAAAUAAAUAAAAUAAGAAUGUCCUUGGAAGGACAUCCCUUUCCUUCUUCACACGAUUUUUAUUGUCAAAUGUUUCUUUAACAUUCCAUUUUUUAAUAACAUUUGCAUUUAACUGAGGAUUAAGGAACUUUUCCUCUUUUGACUCAUGUUAUUAGCUUCUAUAUAUUUACAUUUUUCUUGAUGACUAUAGUCUAUAUGUUAUAGAACAUAUCUAGUAAAUCUUAUAGCAUUUUGGGGGCAUCCUGGAAAUUAUGGUCCCACUGAUUCAUUGACCACUUUUUCAUUAUUUUUUAUUACUAUUUUAUUUUUUAUUACUUUGGAUGAAGAAGAUUCUGCUGAAUGUCCAUGAUUCUUCUAAAAUAUUUAUUUAAAUAGCUGAUAUCUGAUAAUACUUUUUCCUAUUUAUCCUGGAAACAGGGGACAUAAAAACAAGAAUGAAACCAUUGAGAGCACCAGUUAACAUAGGUUACUCUGUUGGUAUCAGCACCAAAAAGCUGGGGAUGGGGAAGGGUAUGAUUAACUCCUUCUGGGUGGCCAAGUAAUGGCCUGGAGCUCUGGGAGAAUUAGAAUUCGAGGCAGAUAUCGUGAUGAGUGCCUGAAAUUCUGAGGGACUUGGAAUUUAAGGGCAGGACUUUGGCAAGCUCAGGUGGCAUCUAGGUUUUCAGUUUGCCCAUUGAUAUUCCAAUUGCCAAGUAUGGCUGACUUUUUUUUACUCCUUACCUUAUUUGAUUUCUCUGUUAUUUAACUCUGUUUACCUCUCUUUUAUUUGUGAAAUGGUCUUCCUCCUUGGCUAUCAUAUUCCUCUUUCUUGGGUCUUCUCUUAUCUUUUGGAGAUUCUUCUUUCCAAAUUCUCUUCAUCUGUCUUAAAUGUUUUUUCUGUUUUUCAGAGAUUGGACCCCCUCUUUUCUUGUUUUAAAAAGUCUACUUAAAUAACUUCAGCUAUUCUGAUGAUUAUGAAAUCUACAUCUCCAGGCCAUGGAUUCUUCUCUUAGUCCUACAUCCAUAUCUCAUUAUUUCUGAAAGAUUCCAAGUUUGUAUUGCAAGAGCUGUCAAACUCAUUGUCCAAAGAUGAUUAUUCUUAGACUUGUUCCUUCUUCAGGAUUCCCUUUGUCUGUGAAUGGCACCACCAUCCACCCAGUCGUUUAGAUUAAAAAAAAAAAAAAGACAAAAUAAAGAAAGAGAAAAAGAUCUUAAAGUUACUCCUUUCUUCAACCUAGAAAUAGUUGCCAAAAUACAUAGAUUUCAAUUGCUUGGUGUUUAUGACAUCCAACACCUCUUGUGCUUCACUACUGCCAAGGCUUAUUUACUCAUUAGCCCAAAGGUAUUUAUUGAAUGCCAUCUAUGUGCCAGGCACUGCAGAUAACUUAAGGACUGGUGAAAUAUCUGCAUAGAGCUUACAUUGUGAUGGAGAGAAUAAUAAAUGAAUAAUUAGGGGCGCCUGGGUGACUCAGUUAAGGCAUCUAACUCUGCCUCAGGUUAUGAUCUCAAGGUUUGUGAGUUCGAGCCCUGUUUCAGGCUCUGUGCUGACAGCUCAGAGCCUGGAGGCUGCUUCAGAUUGUGUGUCUCCCUCUCUCUCUGCUCCCCCCUGCUCCGCCCCACUUGCACUAUCUCCUUCUCAAACAUGAAUAAACAUUAAAAAAAUAAAAAAUAAAUAGAUUAACUAAAGAAGAAAACAUUAGAAUAUACCAUGAAAAGAAGGUUGAAAUGCUAUGAAAAGGAGAUUGUAAGUAGUGACUGGGAGGUUAUUAUAGACUGGGUAAUGUCUUUAAGAUGAACUCUCAAUUUCAAGAAGGAGCCAGGCAUAUGAUAUUUAGAAGGAAGGGCAUUACAGAUAGAUUUAAGCUUGUACAAAAGUCCCAAGGUGGAAAUGAGCUUGGUGUAUUCAGGGAACAUGAAGAUCAUAAUAGCAAAAGAACAAUGAUUAAGGGAGGUAAGGACGGUACGAUGAAGCAAAAAAGGCACACCGGGGCUAAAUCAGUAAGAUUUUCUAAGCAGAGUAUGGAAAUUGGAUUUUGUCUUAAUUUAUUAUUAUUAUUAUUAUUAUUAUUAUUGUUAUUGUUAUUGUUAUUAUUAUUAUUUUGCAAAGUUAUUCUGGCUACUCUGUAAAGAAUGGAUUUUAUGGGCUUAGGAGGGAAGAGGCCAGCAAAUAAGCAAGGAGGUCAUUGUGGAAGUUCAAGCAGGAGACAGUGAUGGCUUGGAGUAGAAUCAUUGUGAUGGAGGAAGUUAGAAGUGAUGGGUUUGGGAUAUAUUCUGGAGAUGAUUUUGAUAGAAGUUUCUGAUUCUAGAAGUUACUGAUAUGGCAGGGUGGUUAGAGGAACAGAAAUUAGGAAUAAUUCCUCAAGUUUUGGCUUUCACAUCUAAAAAAAAGGUACAGGGCCAUUUCAUAAAAUGUGGAGGAUUGUGGAAGGAACAAUUUUGGGUGAAUAGAAGUCAAGGGUUCCCAAUCUUGUUAUUUUUGAGAUCUUGUUAGACAAAAAAGAAAAAAAAAAGAAAACAAAAGAGAAAUGAGAUACAAGUUGGCAGUUUGAUAGAUGACUAGUUUUCAAAGCAGAGGUUAGAGUAAGAAAUAUAGACUGGGAGCCAUAAGCCUUAUAAGUGGCAUUUAAACAUAUGCUAAUGUUAACCAUAUAGUGCCUAAUAUGUGCUAAACAUUAUUCUAAGUAGGUUACAUGUAAAUACUUCAUAUUACAUGUGUUAAAUCACUUAUCUGUUAUGACAACCCCCAUUUUAUAGGUGAGAAGCCAGUGACACAAAGAAGUUAAGUGACUUUCCCAGUGUUACUCGGCUGCUAGUUGGCAAGUUCAGGAUUUAAAUAAAGGAGUUUGGUUUAAUAGUUCUUCUCUUAACCAGGAUUCAUACACAGGGUAUGUCCACAGCAAGAAAAAUGGUCAUACAACUCAACAUUCUGAGAUUCUGAGGGGGGAGAAGCCACAAAAAGAGUUUAUAAAAGAAUAAGCGAUGAUAUCAAGGAAAACCAGGAAAGCAGGAGAGUGUGAUCUAGAAACUGGGGAAAGAAAGUAUUUCAAGAAUGCAGAACAAUCAAGGCUCUUGAAUACUAUUGAGACGUUAAAAAUGUACCCACAGAGAAGUCACAUUUGGAUUUGGCAACAUCGAGGCAUUGGCAAGCUUGAGCAGGGUGGUCUUUGUUGGGGAGUUAAAGAUGAAAGCUACUUGGUGGGCCUUUCUCCAGGGUCAUUACCUGACAAUCCUUACAAAUAACAAUGCCUUUUACUCCUUCAUGCCCAAACUAUACCUAAAUAGUCAUCUUGUGAUUUAUUCUGCUUCUAACUCUCUUUCUCUCUCCUUCUUCCUCCUUUCCUGAUUGUAUUGGACUUCCAUUAUGAAACUUGUUCUAAGGUAGACUUUAAGUUCAUGGUGAGAGACAGAGAAAGCCGCGUUCCCCUCAGAUACUGCAUUCCAAAUUGUUCCACCAGAGUGAAAGAAGAAAGGUUUCCAAUAACAAGCUCUUUUAUUUUCUGGAUCCCAAGGAGAGUUUUGGAGGGAAGCCUCAGGAUAACUUGAGUCACAUGCAUUUAAGGAACCAAAUAAGGAUCAAUACUGUGCUUACUCACUCAAUAGUGCUGCAGGAAAUAACCAUUUAUUCUUGCCUCAGCCACCAGGUUCCAGCUGUCAAGCAGAUCAUAGUGUGCCACUGACUGCUAAUUCCAUACCUAAUGCAAAGUAAUCUGGGCUCACUGAAUGGUGUUUGCUGUUUGCUGAUUUUUUUUUUCUUUUUGGCUCUGGAGUCUUUCUGCAGGUUUCUUUUUGCAACCCAUGACUUUUGGGGGCACAAUAUUAGAGGGUCUUGAUAAAAAACACGCAAAGCAUACCUGUGUAUUUGUCACAUUUAAAAGUGACAGCGAGUCAUUUGAAAAUUGGCAAUAGUAUGAUCUGUAUAUGUCAUUUAAUCAUGAUUGCAAGUAAGUGAUCAUUACAACUUAUUCUUAGAAAGAGCAUUUGAAAAAAAAAUUUUUUCUUUUUACCCGUUAUCAUAUUCAUUACAUCUCUAGCAUCGUGGUGUCUUCUUGAUGAACGAGUAUAUGACAUCAUAAAUAUGCCCCUAAAUUUUUUGUAAGUAGAUUUGUUGUUUUAGUUUUUCAAUCAACAUUAUUGAGAAAUAACAUUAAAUACAUUCAUUUUACGUGCAGGAUUUGAUGAGUUUUGACAAAUAUAUGCACCUAUGUAGUUGCCACCCUAGUCAUGAUGUAAAAUAUUUCCAUUAUCCCAAAAGCUUUUAAAAAUAUAAACAUAUGCUACACAAUUCACAACUUGAAAUCACUAAGAAAACAAGGAGGUAGCAUCAUACCAUGAGAGUAACAGAGAAUUUUGAAUCAGUUGUGGGUUCUAGUUAGCCUUUUAUGAGGUGUGAAAGUUUGGUCAAAUCAUUUAGCCCAUUUGAGUCUAUUAGUGACUGAUACAUAUUGAACCCUUAAUAAAUGCUAGUUGUUAUUCACUUAUACAGUGAGAAAAAAAUUCUGUCAUUCAUAUUUAUAUGUAUUAGGGCUAAAUUAAGUGGAGCUCACUUGUAAUUUUAAGGAGUCUGUAUCCAAACAAAGCACCUAUUUUAGUUUUUACAUUAUUCCCGUCUUAUUUAUCUCUCUGUAACAGUGAAUCCUUUUAUUAUCAUGUAGUAUUUUGUAUUAUCAUUGCUAUUCAUUGUUUAGUGGUGUAUUUAUACUAUAAACAUUCACAAUAUGAGGGUAAAUAUAUGCCACUUAAGCUCUAAAUGGUGAAAAUUAAAGUAUACUGCAAAACAGAUUUUAAAACACAUAGUUGUAGUACAUAAUAAUAUAUUUUAAAAAAUAAAAUGGAAAGUUUCAAUUCAAAUUGAUGCCAAGCAUUUUAGCUUUUGAAUGUAAUGAAGUGGUUUAAAACAUAUUUGAUCAUCUCAGUCAAUGUGUCCAUAUGAAUGGUAUUCUGAUAUCACUUAGACUUAAUUGCUGAAAAUCAACAAGUUGAAUUUGGUGUAGCUUGAAUCAGUUCUUAUCAACUAAAUUUUCUUACAAAUCAUAUAUUUAAAAAGUCUUUCCUCAGUGCUUCUAUUAAAUAAUUUUUAAAUAUUGUUUUUCGUUUACUAACAACCUCUAUUUAUUUAAAUAUCCACACUAAAUUUAGAAUCGGGGAGAUAGAUGCUUAAAUGAUAUCAAUUACUGAACCAUUCUUACAUGUCAAACUUGAUGUAGGUUGACUUCUUUCUCAGAAAAUACAGAAAGCCUGUUGUUUCAGUAGUCUGUAUAAGUAGCUUUGUUCUCUUUACAUGAUUAUGAGGAACCACUCAGGGUUCAAGUCUCAAAUCUGUCAUUUAUUAGGUAUGUGUCUCAGGAGAAGUUAUGCUACUUCUCUGUUCCUCGGUUUAUCUUUCUAUAAGACGGAUCUAACGAUGGCACCUCCCUUUUAGCAUUGUGGAGAGAAUUGGGUGAGGUAAUACACAGAAAGCAUUAAAAUAAAGCCUAGUAUAGAAAAGGCACUCAGUGAGUGCUAGCCAUACGAGAACUUUCCCAAUAUAAACUGAAAUCGAUUUUGCUCCCAGAAUAUGGACAUUUGUGUAAAGCUGGUGGUCAUUUUGUUGAAAUGAUUUCCAGCUCUGUACUAAAAUUUUAUAUAUUAACAUACUCUCCCACGUUUUUUGGGUGGGUUUGUUUGUUUGUUUUUUCCGGUUCUGGUGUUGUGUGGUUCCUUACUUCUAGACUUUACCUAUGUAAACGCAAUUGCCUUCAUUACUCAGGAUAGACCUUUGUUUUGGUAAUUGCUGUCCUCUCUACAAGAGUUUUCGAAGGCAUGGAGCCUGACAUUGAUUCCUUACCUGCAAAAUGGAGCCUUGCUGAUUCUUGCACAGGAAUCUUGGGAAAACAACCAAGUUUAAGAUAAAGAGCUGACCUGUUUUACUGAUUCAUGCUUUGACAUUACUGGGCAAGCCAGAGGUGUCAUCUAUAGAUGAUCUGCAUGUCUCAACAUAAAAGGAUGCCACAGUCAUGCAGUGACCUCUGCGAUCGCUACACUUACCUGUGUGCUUUAUUGGAUAAAGUGUCCUUAUGGUACUGUCAUGACCACAAACCAGACAAAGGCUGUAAGUGGUUCAAGCAAGAACUAGAAACAAGGUUAUCAGGGAACUAUAAAAGGCUUCCAUAAUCUCAAAAUUGAAAAGAGGACUCAUCUCGCACUAAUUAUGAAUGGCACCUCUGAGACAGGGAAAGGAAGCAUAUUUCCUGGGAAUGCUUUCGUGUCAGGAUCAUUUUUCUGAGUGGAAAGGGAUUUGCCGAGGGCCUUCACAUAAAUAGUCAGUGCUGGGUUCUCGGCCUCUGGAUGUGACUGUUUUCUCGAACUCUAAACCAAAAGGGUCGUAUUUAUUAGGUUACAACUUCACGCUAAUUCUGUGGAAGAUGAAUGCACUCGCAUUCAUGGCAUAUCUGAAUUCCAGUGAAAAGAGCAACCAUUAUAGCAAGAGCUGACAUUUGUGAGUGUUCCGUAACAUAUAUUGUUAACGAGCACUUUGCAGGUAGAGUGACUAGCUGUUUGUGGCUUGUCCAGGACUUUCCCAGUUUCAGCAUGAAAGUCCCACAUCCUGGGAACCCCUCAGUUCCAGGAAAAUCAAACUGCCGUGUGCAAGUAUUCAAUUUAAUCACCAGCCUCUUCCAUCUCCAAUGAGCUACUGUUAUUGUCUUCUGCAGCAAAGGGCACUGAAGCACAGAGACAUAAGGUCAUCUGAAGCUCUGUGUAACUACUGGCAUAUCCUACAAGUGACCAAAUGGGAAGUGAGACCUGGGCCAUAGAGCCUACUCUCUCCCUCUUUGUCUUGUAUCACUAUUGGAAUAAACACAUCAUCGUAGAACCAGACCCCUUUUCUCAAAACUUGCUCUAGAACUUGGGUGUCAGUCCAAUGCCUACGGAUGUAGGGAGAGGAGGAAAAUUAUUUCCACACCAUUUCUUAGUGACACCAAAACAUUGCCAACUUUAGUCUCAGAAAUGCCUGUCAGUGGGCUUGAAGGAAUGACUUUCAGAGCCGCUGCAGCAAAAUUAAUUAAUGACUUGGAAAAAUCUGCCAAAGCAACGUACCUAUAAUGUACAACUGGUGCAUAAUAGUUAUUUAAAUAGUGUCAAGUGUCUCAUUUGGAGGGAAACACAUCAGCAAAUGCAGUUUGUUUGUGUUAGUAUCCUUUCUCCGUUUUUAUUUUAUUUUAUUUUAUUUUCAUUAAUUAUUAUUAUUUUUUUAUGAGAGAGAGAGAGACAAUGGGAGGGCAAGUGGGGGAGGGAGACAGAGGGAGAGAGAGAAUCUUAAGCAGGUUCUAUGCUCUGCAUAGAGCCCGACACAGGGCUUAAUCCCACAGCACUGAGAUCAUGACCUGAACCAAAAUCCAGAGUUGGAUGCUCACCCGACUGAGCCACGUAGACACCCCUUCGUUUUUAAAUAAAGUAUGAAAAACUCUUCAGACAAAUUAUGAUAAAGUAUCUGAAUGUAUAAAAAUGUGUUUCAAAUGGAAGUUACUGUUUCCUGAUUGUCAGUGACAUAAAUGCUGUUUAAUAUAGUUUUGUACCUUCCAACUCUCGCUGUGGAAAUGCCAAGUGUUCCAGGUAGAAUCAUAUAAUUCCCAGACUUUCAGAUUUAGAAAAGCAGUUAAAUAACAAAUAGAGGAGGAUUGGCCUACAAGGCAUUAACAGCUUUGAAUCUUAUUUAUUUAUUUUUUUAUGUUUUUAUUUUAUUUUUGAGAGAGAGACAGACAGAGUGUCAGUGGGGGAAGGGCACAGAGAGAGGGAGACAGAGGAUCUGAAGCAGGCUCUAGGCUCUGAGCUGUUGGCACAGAACCUGAUGAGGGGCUCGAACUCAUGGACUACGGGAUCAUGACCUGAGCAGAAGUUGGACGCUUAAUCGGCUGGGCCACCCAGGCACCCCUGAUCUUGUCAAACAGUGAAUGAUAUGAAACAAAAGGCCUGCUUCCUGUUAUUUACUGGCACAUAGACCUAAUGGCAUAUAUUUAGUAUCACUAGCACUUGCUUUUCAGAAGUUCAUUUUAAUACUAAAAGGGCCGUUGUCUUAGUAUAAGGCAAGAGAGUUAAACUUUAUCGCAACAUAGCUCAAAGAUAGGUGUUCUAGUGCAGAAAACUUCUGACUCUAUCUCGCAUCGCACGCACCUGUUUUUUGGUACCAGUGUGACAGUGUGAGAGGCUACGCUCAGUGCAACAUGACACAGGAUUCGGGUUUCUGAUGUGCUCCAUUUCAUUUUUUUUUUUUACCACAGUCAUCGUAGAAUUCCAAUUUCACAUCCCUGUGUUGACAGAAGUGCUAGUAGCAUAUGUCAUGCUAUUUCCCUCAAUUGAGAGUUUUCUCGGCAAACUGAGAGUAGCUGGGGGAAGCACAGCCCCCCAGACAGGGCCAAAAAGAAAAAAGCUGCUGCAAGCUUAGUGUCUGCCCAGCAUGCCCAAGGAAGGAGAUUCUCAACUCAAGGGUGCUUACCCUUCUCCUCGGGUCCCAAAUGGCCCACAAGGAAUGGUCGAGAAUAUAUUUGAAAGGCAUGAAUUUGAUCCAGAUAAACAUUGCCAAGAAUUGGCCAUUGGUGCAGCAGCUGGGAAUUGGGAGACCUGAAGUCUCUCUCUUCCUGGCUGUCACCAAAGAGCUUCAUGGCUUAGCAAGUUCCUUUAUCUGCCUGAGCCUCAGUUGCCCCUCUGGCGUUACGACCUCCAGACUCCUUCUGUUAUAAAACACAUAAUGGUUUGAUUUCCAUUUUUCUGAGAGCCCUGCUUUCUGCUAAGGAACAGUAUGUACCAAAGCAUUAAUCGGUCUUUACUUAGCAAGUAGAUUUGUCUUUUCGAGUAUGACAUUCAAUUUUACCUGGAUUUUAAUGACAGUGUUUUCACCUAAAUUCAAAGUCCCAUGUUGCCUUUGUGCAAAAGACUGCUUGGUAUUAAUACUAAUUGUUAAAACAGGGAAAUUGCUGCAAAUAUAUUACUCAUCUUUUGUUCCCGAUGCCUCAUUCAUAGAGGUAAUUUUAGAACUUGGUGAAAGAUAGAUGCCCUAAGCCUAAACCAUGGUGACAAAUAGGAAACAAAUAUAAAAAAAUCAAAUUAAAAAAUGAUAUGGAAAACAUGUACUUAAUAUGUAUGGAAAAAAUGGUGGGGCAAAUUGGAAAUGUGGCUAAUUUUCCAAAUCCAGUAGACAUCAACACGUAUCUCCCCACACACACAUAAACACACUGCAUCUAUAUGCUUAUUAACAUUUUAUAUUGGGAGACUGUAAUUUCCUUGGGAGUGGGAAUGUAUCUUCUUCACCAUUGUUUCCCUAACAUUUAGCUCGAUUCCUGACACAUGUCAAGUGGCUUCUAAGAAUUUGUGGCAUGAAGUGUUCACUGUUGGGACAAAUUUCCAGGCACUGUGAAUGAAUCCUCCUUACAUCCUAACCUCGUAUAAUCUUCACCUCUUAAGACAGAAUUGGAAGAAAUUGCAUUCUAUAGAAUCAAACUUCAGAAUAGCUAAUUUGUGUUAAUACUCAUUUGAAUAUUAAAACUGUAAGACUGACCUUCUCAUAACUGCAAAAUGCUGAGCCAGGCAGUUGGAGGGGUGUAGCUGAUGUCAAAGAAGGUGAAACAAAGAAAUUCUUAUAGGAUAUCAUCUUAGGUACUGGCAAAAAUCAGUGCUAGCUCCCCUCUUUGGAUUUUUUAAAAAUAACAGCAACAACAACAAAGCAAUAAAGGACAUCAGAAGAGAGUGAACAGACAAAAGACCAGUCAUGUUGUUGCAACAUAUCCUAUGUGAAUGUUGUGAAAGAAUCAUGAUAUGACUCACAAGUGUGGAAGUACAAUUUGCUUGAUCCCCUUGAAAAAGGGGGGAAAAUCUUCAACUGCAUAGUGUUAUGAGACAUAUAUUUGGGCCAACAAAGACAAAUUAGAUCAUGAGUUUUUUAGAGAACAUAUUCUCUGAAUCCAGGUGUGCUUAUGUUUACAGGCUGUCAAGUUGUACUUUAUGCAUGGCGUCAGGCAGACUCGGGGAUUUUCUUCUGCAAGGUGCUAAUAGCCGUUGACCGUGAUUUGCACAAUAUUUAGUUCCCUAAUGGAAAGUGUCCCUCCUACUUGAAUUUCAACUUACUUACCUCUCUGUUGUCUAUCUCGUGGGCAACAACCCUCAGGGGUAUGUAGAUCAGUCCAAAACAGACAAAGCUUAGAUAUGCUUUCCUGCAAUCUGGACCAAUGCAAAGAAAAUAACAUUAGAUAGGCUGGUGGCUUAUUAGCUGCCUCCUAUAUUUAGAACCCUUGACAUUGGCUCUAAUAAUGGACAUCCUCAUAGAGUUUAUUCUGUUACCUAGAAUCAACAAUUUCUAUAAAAUCUAUGCCAAAGAUCAGAUUUCUUACAACAGCUGGAAAAAGGGAGCUCUAUGAUUCCAAAUGUCAACAUACUGAACAAUUAAGUUUUCUGACCCUGAGAGUGCCCAUCAGCCAGUAUUAGUAACACAAUGGGUGGGUAAACUCCAAAUGUUGUUCCAUAUAUUUUGUGCAAAAAUUGAAACCAGUCCAGGAGAGCUGGAGAGAAGAAACCGGCUAUUGAGCCAAAGGAAUUAGUCAUCAUUUAUGUGUCACCACAUUCUAUGACCUUUGUUUGUUUGACUUUCCAAUAAAGAUUUAGGUUGUAGUUUACAAAAACAGGUGGUAAACACGCAGUGAAAUGGAGAGAAAAAUGCGUUGGCACUUCUUGAGGGAGUAGCUCAAAUCAACUAUUUUAAAUUAAACAGAAGAAGUCUAAAGGUAGAGCCGGGUUCUUAAUUAAGGUUCUCAGGAGCUGCUAACAUGGAUGCAAAAUUUUGAAACUAAGCUUGAAUGCUCAUUUUUUUUUCUUGUUGAAGUUUAUAUAGUCUGAAAAUGUUUUUAAACAUUGGUACAAGCAUAUCUCGUUUUAUUUUGCUUCACUUUGGGGCACCUGGGUGGCUCACCCAUAUAAGGCAGCAAAUUUCGUGGAUAAGUGUCAUGUGUGUUCUGACUGCUCUGCCCACUGGUCACUCCCCUGUUUCUUUCCCUUUCCUUGGGCCUCUCUAAUCCCCGAGACACAACAAUAUUGAAAUUAGUCUCAUUAAUAACGCUAUGGUGGCCUUCAAGUGUUCAAGUGAAAGGGAGAAUCACUUGUCUCUCACUUUAAAUCAAAGCUAGCAGCAAUUCAGCUUAGUGAGGAAAGCAAGUUGAAAGCCGAGACAGGUAAAAGUUGGGCCUCCUGCACCUCACAAUUAGCCAAGUUGUGAAUGCAAAGGAAAAGUUCUUGAAGGAAAUUCAAAGUGCUACUCCAGUGAACACACAAAUAAUAAGAAAACAAAAUAGCCUUCUGCCUGAUAAGGAGAAAGUCUCAGUGGUCUAGGUAGAAGAUCAAACCAGCCAUAACAUUAUCCCCUAAGCCAAAGCCUAAUCUAGAGCAAGGUGCUCACUCUCUUCAAUACUUUGUUGGUUGAGAGAGGUGAGGAAGCCUCAGAAGAAAAAUGUGAAGCUAGGAGAGGGUGGUGUGUAAGGUGUAAGGAAAGAAGCUGUCUCCAUGGCAAGAAAAUGCAUGGGGAAAGAGUAAGUGCUGAUGUAGAAGCUGCAGCAAGUGAUCCAGAAGGUCUAGCUCAGAUCAUUCAUGAAGAUGGCUGCGUCAGACAACAGAUUUUCAGUGUGGAGGACACAGCCUUAUCUUGGACCAUUGGACCUAGCAUUAUCUAGGACUUUUUUAGCUGCAGAGGAGAAGUCAAUGACUAGAUUCAAAGCCUCAAAGGACAGUCUCAUUAGGGACUAAUACAGCUGGUGGCUUUAAGUGAAAGCCAGUGCUCCUUGGCCAUUCUGAAAAUCCUAGUGCCUUUAAGAAUGAUGCUGAAUCUCCUAAUGCCUGUUCUCUAGAAAUGGAACAACACAGUCUGGAUGACAGCACAUCUGUUUUUGACAUGGUUUGCUGAAUAUUUUAAGGCCACUGUUGAGACCUACUGCUCAGAAAAAACGACUCCUUUCAAAAUAGUACUGCUUAUUGACAGUACAUCUGGUCACCAAAGAACUCUGAUGGAGAUGUACAGUAAGAUGAUGUCGUUUAAAUGCCUGCUAACAUGACAUGUAUUCUGCAGCCCAUGGCUCAUGGUGUAAUUUCAACUUUCAAGUCCUAUUAUUUAAGAAAUACGUUUCAUAAGACAGCAGGUGCCGUAGAUAGUGAUUCCUCUGACAGAUCUGGGCGAAGUAACUUGAAAACCUUCCAGAAAAGAUUCACCAUGUUAGAUGACGUUAAGAACAUUUGCGAUUCAUGGGAAGAAGUCAAAAUAUCAACAUUAACAAGAGUUUGGAAGAAGCCGAUUCCAGCCAGCACGAAUGACUUUAAGGGCAGGAGAAGUCACUGCAGAUGUGGUGGAAACAGCAAGAGAAUCAGAAUUAGAAGUGGAGCCUGAAGAUGGGGACUGAAUGGCUGCAAUCUGAUGAUACGAUAUGAAAGGAUAAGAAGUCCUUCUCAUGGAUGAGCAGAGAAAGUGGUUUCUUGACGUGGAAACUGCUCCUGGUGAAGAUGCUGUGAAGAUUGUUGAAAUGACAACAGAAGAUUUAGAAGAGCACAUAAACCUAGUUGACAAAGCAGCAGCAGAGUUUGAGACCAAUGACUCCGAAUUUGACGGAAGUUCUACUGUUGGUGAAAUACUGCCAAACAGUACCACAUGCUACAGAGAAAUCAUUCCUGAAAGGAAUGCAAUAAACUUCAUCGAUGUCUUAUUUUUAGAAAUUGCCACAGUCUCCCAGCCUUCAGCAACCGCCACUCCGAUCAGUCUGUAGCCCUCAACACUGGGGCCAGACCCUCCACCAGCAUAAAGAUUAUGCCUGCUGAAAGCUCAGAUGAUGAUGGCAGCAUUUUUUAGUGAUCAUUCUUUUAAAAUUUAAGGUGCAUACAUUGGUUUUAGACUUAAUGGUGUUGCACGCUUCGUACACUACGGUAUGGUGUAAACAUAACUUCUAUAUACACCGGGAAACCAAAAAAUCCAUUUGACUCACUUAAUUGUGAUAUUCAUUUUAUUGCAGUGUUCUGAGACCAAGCCUGCAAUGUCUCCUAGGUAUGCCUGUAUACGUUUUAAAGGAUUCCCGGAUAUGCAGCAACUCAGUACAUGCAAUUUUGCUAUUAACAUGUUUACAAAUGGGAGAAAAUCUUCAUAAUCAUGGCGUUUACACUGAACGCUCUGGAAUCCCCACUGCUUCUCUUGCUUGCUUAUCCUCAGGGAUAAGGGCAGCUGUUUUAGGGACAGAACAUUUAGCUAAUCUCAAAUGUUUUACUUUUAACUCAUUUGGAAGAGAAAUGUUAGUACGUGGCAUUUGCUUUUCAGCCAUUUUCUCUGGAAUGCUCUCGCUCCACUCGGGCAAGGAAAACUCAGACGGAAACCUUCACAGGAAGUAGAUACCAUUGGAAUGGAUCUUAGGCAGGGAAGUGCUCUGUAUCUCUGGGUUGGCACAGCCUGGUGAAAACUAUUGAACUGUAGCAUUUCCGUCGUGGUGCCAGCUCGAUGGCUAGACGCCAAGAUUGCUCUUUGGCAACAAGCAGCCAGACAAGCAGCUGGUUAUUGCAGUGAAUCUGAGCAGCGUGCCUAGGGCCUUGACUCUGGUGCCAGAUCCUCCAACCCAGUUAGCGACUGAACCCUGGAGGCUCGUUCUGGCUCCGUUCCCUCCGCGCCUCACGAUGGGCUUUGCCCUGGCAAGAGUGAUCUCCAGCAGAUUGUCCUGCCUGGGUCCUGAGCUAUGGUGUCUGGCUGGAGUGGGAUGCUUAGAGACCACCUAAAGCUGAAGGAACACUUGGCAGCUGUGACCGUCUCGCCGGGGGCACUGGCCGGGGCAUGCUUUCACUGGAGGCUGGCUGGAAGACAGCAGAAUCAAUAGGAGCUGCUGGCAUUCCACUCAAGCCAGGGGCGAAGAAGUGACAGCCUCCUGGCGUCUGCCUUUGGCCCCGCUGGCAUCUAUUUUGUGCUGUCCUUUGUGAAAAUCGCGAAGACUGAGGGGCCUGACACCAUGAUGCAGUUUGCAGCGCUGUGCCCUCCAUGUUGAUUCCCUGGAAGUUGGAGAGCUAUUCAGAAUGGUUCAAAACGAAGUCUGAAAAUUUGAACAUAGCCAUCGGGUAAUUCUCGGCAUCUUUCAAAGGAUGCCUGUGAUUUCUCCCGGGGAAAGUUGAAGUAUACUACAAUGGUGGAUCUAUUAAAAAUAUUGGCACAGAGGAACAAGGACUCCAUUGUGUUUAAUUGCUGGGAUUCCCGCCUCACCACACAGGACAAGUACCAACAGGAUACUGUCUAUGAAGCUUGUCUUUUAUUCCUAACAUUUGAUCACUUUCUGGAAUCAGGUAUAUGAUUAACAUGUGUAUCGCUUAAUGUAGAUGAGGUAAAUAGAAUAGGACAUAGUGCCAAUGUUAUACUGUGACUCUGAAUUUUUUUCCCCUUUUGUUUUUAUUUUUUAUCAGGUCCACUGACUUUUUUUUUUCCUUAUUUGGUCUUUUAUCCAAAAAUCAAUGUUGUUGAAACUCACCAUGUACCACGGUCCUCAGGGCUGUGUGGUUCACAGGCGAAGUAAUAAGUUCAUGUACCUAGUUUAAAGGAGAAAUCUGUUAAUAGUUUAACUAAUGAAUAUUUAACUCAAAAAAUAAUUUCAUAUUAAUAGAUACAAUGGCGUUUCUUAUUGAGAGACCCAUUUCAGUCGUCAAAAUAACACAUUGUCAGUUGGGCAUUUUGGUUCGCGAUGUCACAAUUGGAUAAUUUGUGUUGGAACCUUCAUUCUCCCCAUCGCCUUCCUAAUCUAUCUGCUGAACUCCCCUCACACCUAAGAAACCAGCUCAAAUACAGUGCAUCAUGCAUUCCAUAUCCUUUCCCCAAUUAUCACAAAAUUAUUUGCCACGGCGUGUGUCUAUAUCCCUACUUCACCUUGUUUAGGCGUUGAUUAUAACAUUUACCACCCUGUGUUCUAGUUUGUGUAUAGUUAGUCAUCUCUCCUGCUAGAUUCUGAAGGGAGCACUCAGAAGGGAGAACUAUUUCUUUUCCGUUUUUGUAUGUAUUUUUAAUUUCAGUGACAUUAAAUUAUACAGUGAAGUGAAAUUAUCACCAUUUACAGCAAGAAUUUUUUUUUAAGUUUCCAGAUGCGAAAGUAUUGUUGAUUCUUGGUAUUUGUGGUAGUUAUUUCCAUAAAGUCACUGUGAGCACCGAAUUAGCAAAUAUUUAACCAUUGCUCCUAAUACAGAGUUAGGUUUCUGUGAAACUCUGAUCACAACAUUUUCAUCAUCGACCUAUCAGUACAUAGCCUUGUUUUAUGUAGGUUUCUGUUUAAAGACACCUAUUUAAUACAUAACAUCAUUCAUGAAAACAUUGAGCUCGUGGGCAAUAGCACUAUAAGUCAUGCCUGAAUAAAGGUUUUCCAACACACAUUUUUUUUCUACAAGACACUGUCAAGAAUCCAGAAAUAGCAAAAUUAAACUACCAGAUCAGUAAAACCGUAUUUAGUAGGAGUUUAUUAUGCAUAUAAGAAUAGUUCACAAACUGGGAGCUUUCAAAUUCGAAACUGAUAUGAAGCUCAGAAGCAUGACAUUAUAGGAUGGCUUAUAAAGUGAAAACGAGGAAGUCAUUUAACCUUUACAGUGAUUGGUUAAUACCGUGGGGGUUUCCAGACGGCAGGGGAUUGGUUACAAGUGAUUAUCUUACACCAUUUUUAGGAAGAUGGCUUAAGUUUCUUUUAUGAUUAUCAGAGGCAUUUACAAGAAGUAACCUACGUUACACUCAUUUUCAUGAAAUAAGCUAGCUUUAGUUUUGCUUACAUGGCUCAAAUGGUUUUGUCUGCUUUGGGGGAUUUUCAAGCCUGGCUUCCAAUUUUAUUUUAUUCUACCAGCACAUUGUAGCCUUCUUGCACUUAGGGACACUACAGAACACUUCAGCGCUACGCUUGGGGGUCAUUGUAAAUGGCAAAAAAAAAAAAUGUGGUACUAAAUAGACUGCCAAAAGGACCCUUGUUUACAGUAUGACAGCUGAAACAAGAAGGCAGAACAUAGCAUUGUUCAACGUCAGCUGAGAACGUGCAUUUUUACCUCAUUGCACAUAUUCGUCAAUGACCAUAAAAUCUGUACAAGUGUUGACUUGGAGGCCUCCCCUCAUUUUUAAAAAAAUUUUCAAUGUCUAUUAUCUUAAAAUUUUUUCAAUGUUUAUUCAUUUUUGAGAGACAGAGACAGUGUUUGAGUGGGGGAGGGGCAGAGAGAGAGGGAAACACAGACUCCAAAGCAGGCUCUGGGCUGUCAGCCCAGAGCCCCACGUGGGGCUCGAACUCAUGAACUGUGAGAUCAUGACCUGAGCCGAUGUCCGACGCUUAAUGGACUGAGCCACCCAGGUGCCCCAGUCCGAAAUAAAUUUCAGUGAGUGGGCAAAUUCACAAAUACAGAAUCUAUGAAUAAUGAGGAUCAGCUAUAUGUGUAUCAUGAAUAUUUAAUAUUAUAGUCACCAUUUUGUUUAAUCCAAAUUGGGUGUGUGGUAGGGUAUAGAAUUAGAAAAAAUAGUUUCUGUGGAGUGUUUUAUAAGUAGUGAUUAGGAAUUUUUAUUUGAAGUAGAUCUUAUUUUAAAAUUAUGUGGCAGCCAAAGCACUCCUUAUUUAUCUUGAGUGUUUAAUUCGGAAAAGAAAAAUGAGACCAUUUUCACAAAAAAUGCAUUUUCCAGAAGAUACUCCACACCCCCUAUAAUCUGCUCUAAUACAGAAGUUAAUGCAAUAUUAGCUAAAAAUAAAGUAUUGGAUGCAUAAAGGCACAUCCUGAGCACAACUAUCUGCACAAUAGAUUUUCAGUAGCAGCAAUGAGCUUGACUCAGAAUAGAAUAUAGAUAUUCAUGUAUUAUUGAUGCUAAUUCACUCUGGGGAACUUCCCUGUGCAAUUUAUCCAAUCCUCUGCAUACCACUGGUUAUAGUACAUGCAUCUUUUUAUUCAUCCUAUGUGAGAUUAUGAACAGUACCAGAAGGAUGCAUUCAUUAAGAUUCAUAGGAAUGUAAUGACCAUUUUCCCACUAAUAGAUUUUUUCUAAUAGAAAAAAAAAUAGGUGUUGUACUUCCAAGACAUUACUCAAACAUGUGUGCAUGCAUAAGUAUUUGAGAAAACUCAGAAAAAAAAUUAAGCUCUUGCAUCUUUAAGUAUUUUCAAUUAAAAAACCAAGUGUUUGUGUGUGGAAAGUGAUCGAAGAAAUAGCUGGCAAGGCAAAUGUCCUGCCAUAGCCCUAAAAAUACAGGAGUAAAGGGAGGCCUAGCACAGGAGUUUAGCAAGUGUAUGUUGGUGAAAUGGGUGACGGGGCUCAAAAGGCAAAAACCCGCAGUUAUAAACCAUAGGGAUGUAAUGUGCAGCAUGGUGACUAUGAUUAAUCAUAUUGUAUUGCCUAUUUGAAACUUGCUAGAAAGUAGAGCUUGAGAGUUCUCACAAGAGCUGUCACAACUGCCUAGGUGGUUCAGUUGGUUGAGAAUCUGCCUCCUGAUUUCACCUCAAGUCAUGAGCUCAUGGUCUUGGGAUCGAGCCCCGCGUUGGGUUCUGUGCUCAGAGUGUGGAGCCUGCUUGGGAUUCUUUCUCUCCUCUUCUCUCUCUGCCCCUCCCUUGCUCAUGCUCUCUCUCUUUCUCUCUCUC